CAAAGGCUUGGUCNUGACUUUACUAUCUGCUAUAGACAUAUUUAUACAUGCAAGUAUCCGCCUCCCCGUGAGAAUGCCCAUACUUCCCCUUUGGGAAUAAGGAGCAGGUAUCAGGCGCACUAACUAGUAGCCCACUACACCUUGUUUAGCCACCCCCUCAAGGGAAUUCAGCAGUAAUUAACCUUAAGCAAUAAGUGUAAACUUGACUUAGUAAUGACUAAUAAGGCCGGUAAAAUUCGUGCCAGCAACCGCGGUUAUACGAAAGGCCUAAGUUGAUAAAAUACGGCGUAAAGAGUGGUUAAGGAAAUAACCCACCUAAAGUUAAAACUCCUCCUGGUCGUUUUAAACUUAUGAGAUUUGAGAGAAUCAUCCACGAAAGUGACUUUAAUAUCCUGUGCCACGAAAGAUANNNNNNNNNNNNNNNNNNNNNNNNNNNNNNUGCUAGUUGUAAACAAUGACACUCUUUCACCUGAAUGUCCGCCCGGGUACUACGAGCACUAGUUUCAAACCCAAAGGACCUGGCGGUGCUUAAUAUCCCCCUAGAGGAGCCUGUCCUAUAACCGAUAACCCCCGUUCAACCUCACCCCCUUUUGCAACCCCUGCCUAUAUACCGCCGUCGUCAGCUCACCCUGUUAAGGUUUAAAAGUAAGCAAAAUUGGCAAACCCCUAAACGUCAGGUCGAGGUGUAGUACAUGAGGGGGGAAGAGAUGGGCUACAUUGAUUACCUUAGUCAACUACGGAAGAUGCACACUGAAAUCUGUGCCUUGA
rnacentral:rRNA from 1 species